CCCCUUGAGGUUAUGAGCGCCCAUAGGGAAGAUGUUGCCACUGUACGCAGUUGGGAGAAGAAGGACCUGGCACAUGAGGAAGCCAAGUAGUUGGAUCAGCCCUCUCCAUCAUGGCGUUUCCCACACCUCUGAUUGGACUGGAAACUCCCUGAAAGGAGGAAGCAAGUCAGAUUCACCUCUAGGUCCCUCCCAGGCCUGGAGAGGCUGGCAUGCUGUUGGCACUCACUGACUGCCUGGUGGCCGACUGGCUGGAUGGAAUGGUGACCUGUGACCAGUCUGUCUCUCUCCUCAGCUGAUCUGAGAGUUCCUGGAGGCCAGGGACUGUGUUUGCCUCACCUCGGCACCUCUGUGCCUGGGGCAGAGGAACUGCUCAACAAGUUCUGGUUGAACAAAUGGAGGGAACACUAAGAGCGAAUAAUUAUUAAGCGCUUACUGUGUGCGAGCAGCUGCUGUAAGCAAUGGACACUUUAUCUCAGUGAACCCUGCAGAGGGUUCCAAUGAGGGAAUGGAGCAGACCUGAUCUAACCAAGCUAGGGGUGGGGAGGUGCCCGGUGGUAGGUGCCAGCAGACAUGACAGGCACUCCCGCACAUGGCACCACAGCAAUGCUGUCAAGGUUGCCCGUGGAAUCUGAAAGCUGAAACACUCAUCUUUAUAUACAGAGUUGGCCAAAGCAAGACACCAGCAAAUCAGUUUACCCAAAAAUGUGCAAACAAGAUUUCCUGUGCCUGCCUGUCUGCAGUUUUUCUUUCCCCUCUCUCUUAUAUAACUCUUGUUGAAAUCAGUCUAUAGAUACAUGUUCCUUGUACAGAAAUAAACAGAGAGCUAAUAAUUA
rnacentral:lncRNA from 10 species